UACAGAGGGUGCAAGCGUUAAUCGGAAUUACUGGGCGUAAAGCGCGCGUAGGUGGUUUGUUAAGUUGAAUGUGAAAUCCCCGGGCUUAACCUGGGAACUGCAUUUGGGACUGCAAGGCUUGAGUACGGCAGAGGGGGGUAGAAUUCCUGGUGUAGCAGUGAAAUGCGUAGAUAUCAGGAGGAAUACCGAUGGCGAAGGCAGCCCCCUGGGUCGAUGCUGACGCUCAUGCACGAAAGCGUGGGGAGCAAACAGG
rnacentral:rRNA from 1 species